AAAAACCACAUAUUCGAGGUUCCUUUCUCUUCUUUGAACUCCAUGGAACCCCCUCUACUCUGCCGCCGUCGGGGUUGGUUCUGGCCAUCAUAGGCCUUGUUUACACAAUUUAAACCUAUGAAAUCUCUCAUCCCGUCAACCGCUAACAAAGCCCCAAGAAAAUUUCAACAAUCAAAGCUUUUCCGGAGCCCUACCUGCGCCCUUGGGACUAAAGCUUUUUUCGUGUCAAUCGCAACAAAACCUCACUAGGUACUUUACUGGUGCCAUCUAUGUUCUGAAUCUCGUCAAGUGCAGAGCAAGGGCGGUGAUGUUGCAUUAUUUGUUCAUCGUGGAACGAAGCUUUUGGGUGGUGAUGAGAUUCAAAGGGAUUCGAAUGGUUCAUGCAUAGCUUCAGCGGUUUAUUCCCUCUCGUUGAAUGGAUAUGUUGGUUGAAUGGGCAGCGUAAAAAGGCUCCAACUCCAGAGGUAAAUAAUAAACAAGGUGAUGUGUAAAUAAUAUUGCCUACGUAUUGUUCUCUUCCACUCUUAUGUAAUGCAAGCUUGACUGAGAUAAGCACCAUAUAGACAUAAUUGUGAAGUCAAAAGUAAAUAAGUAUCUGAAAUACUUCAAGAAGAGAGGUUUUGAUUUUAUUUAAUUGUUAACUCUUCAUUCUUUUCCAUUUUUCACUUUGUUUUUAUUAAUAUUGUAUUUGUUUAUAUUUUCAAUUUAUUUCAGAGAAUAAAGAGCUUUGAGAAAAAUGAAAUUGAGGCCACAAAGGCAUUGAUCAGUUUUUAUGUUUUGCUUGCCUUUAAUCUUUGUAUGCCUUGGAUUACCCAAAUUUAAUUAUGUCCAGUUUUUGUGUGUUCUCAACUUCUUAUCUUGUCUUGCAAAAUAGCAUUCCAAAGUAGCAUCACUUAGAAAUUUUUAUUGUAUGGUAUUGAUCGUUUUCAUUUUCUAAUCCUUAACAUUUGCCCUUCAAUGAAAUCAAGCACUUAUUGGCAGGCCGAAAAGAUGAUUUCACAUAGGGAAGAGAUCUUUUCCCACCCCAAAGGAACCUGGUCUGUCACAGAGUAGGAAGAAAAGCUUGCUGUAAAAGCAUCCAAGGUGCACUCGACACACCAAUGGGAAGCCAAAUAUCUAUUCUUGUGAGGGAGCAACCAUAAGCGGUUUAUACUGUAUAAAGCUACUACUUAUGGGGUCGGUGGAUGAUCAAAUUGACUUCAUAAUGGGUGAUUUCUUCCUCUUGACACAUAAAUUAAAGGUUUAAUUGUAAGAUUGAGGAAGAAUGAAAAAGUGACUUGACAGGUGUAAGGAUAUCCUGACUGCUGCCAUUGGGCGACCAGAGCACCCUGGCCGUGUUCGUGCUGUUGGAGCCGGUGUCACCAUAAAGCAAUACUUUGGAUCAGCUUCACGAUAUUCGUCUCUACUGCAGUGGACACUGGCAAAUGGUCGUCAUUCUACCUAAGGAAAACCUAGUUGUCUGGUUUUGUUCUUUGCAUAACAGGCCAGACAACUACCUUAAGGGAAUAAU